rnacentral:rRNA from 1 species
UACGAAGGGUGCUAGCGUUGUUCGGAAUCACUGGGCGUAAAGCGCGCGUAGGUGGCUUAACAAGUCAGGGGUGAAAGCCCACAGCUCAACUGUGGAAUUGCCUUUGAAACUGUUAAGCUAGAGUGUCGGAGGGGAUAGCGGAAUUGCUAAUGUAGAGGUGAAAUUCGUAGAUAUUAGCAGGAACACCGGUGGCGAAGGCGGCUAUCUGGACGACAACUGACACUGAGGCGCGAAAGCGUGGGGAUCAAACAGG